rnacentral:rRNA from 1 species
AUUGAACGCUGGCGGCAUGCCUUACACAUGCAAGUCGAACGGUAACAGGUCUUCGGAUGCUGACGAGUGGCGAACGGGUGAGUAAUACAUCGGAACGUGCCUAGUAGUGGGGGAUAACUACUCGAAAGAGUGGCUAAUACCGCAUGAGAUCUACGGAUGAAAGCAGGGGAUCGCAAGACCUUGUGCUACUAGAGCGGCCGAUGGCAGAUUAGGUAGUUGGUGGGAUAAAAGCUUACCAAGCCGACGAUCUGUAGCUGGUCUGAGAGGACGAUCAGCCACACUGGGACUGAGACACGGGCCAGACUCCUACGGGAGGCAGCAGUGGGGAAUUUUGGACAAUGGGCGCAAGCCUGAUCCAGCAAUGCCGCGUGCAGGAUGAAGGCCUUCGGGUUGUAACUGCUUUUGUACGGAACGAAAAGCCCUGGGUUAAUACCCUGGGGUCAUGACGGUACCGUAAGAAUAAGCACCGGCUAACUACGUGCCAGCAGCCGCAGUAAGAC